GGAAUUAUUGGGCGUAAAGAGCUCGUAGGCGGUUUGUCGCGUCUGUCGUGAAAGUCCGGGGCUUAACCCCGGAUCUGCGGUGGGUACGGGCAGACUAGAGUGCAGUAGGGGAGACUGGAAUUCCUGGUGUAGCGGUGGAAUGCGCAGAUAUCAGGAGGAACACCGAUGGCGAAGGCAGGUCUCUGGGCUGUAACUGACGCUGAGGAGCGAAAGCAUGGGGAGCGAACAGGAUUAGAUACCCUGGUAGUCCGUGCCGUAAACGUUGGGCACUAGGUGUGGGGACCAUUCCACGGUUUCCGCGCCGCAGCUAACGCAUUAAGUGCCCCGCCUGGGGAGUACGGCCGCAAGGCUAAAACUCAAAGGAAUUGACGGGGGCCCGCACAAGCGGCGGAGCAUGCGGAUUAAUUCGAUGCAACGCGAAGAACCUUACCAAGGCUUGACAUGUUCUCGAUCGCCGUAGAGAUACGGUUUCCCCUUUGGGGCGGGAUCACAGGUGUUGCAUGGUUGUCGUCAGCUCGUGUCGUGAGAUGUUGGGUUAAGUCCCGCAACGAGCGCAACCCUCGUUCCAUGUUGCCAGCACGUCAUGGUGGGGACUCAUGGGAGACUGCCGGGGUCAACUCGGAGGAAGGUGGGGACGACGUCAAAUCAUCAUGCCCCUUAUGUCUUGGGCUUCACGCAUGCUACAAUGGCCGGUACAAUGGGUUGCGAUACUGUGAGGUGGAGCUAAUCCCAAAAAGCCGGUCUCAGUUCGGAUUGGGGUCUGCAACUCGACCCCAUGAAGUCGGAGUCGCUAAUA
rnacentral:rRNA from 1 species